rnacentral:rRNA from 1 species
UACGGAGGGAGCUAGCGUUGUUCGGAAUUACUGGGCGUAAAGCGCACGUAGGCGGCUUUGUAAGUUAGAGGUGAAAGCCCGGAGCUCAACUCCGGAAUUGCCUUUAAGACUGCAUCGCUUGAAUCCAGGAGAGGUGAGUGGAAUUCCGAGUGUAGAGGUGAAAUUCGUAGAUAUUCGGAAGAACACCAGUGGCGAAGGCGGUUCACUGGACUGGUAUUGACGCUGAGGUGCGAAAGCGUGGGGAGCAAACAGG